UAACGUAGGGUGCGGAGCGUUGUCCGGAAUUAUUGGGCGUAAAAGGGCUCGUAGGCGGUUUGUCGCGUCGGGAGUGAAAUCCACUGGCUUAACUGGUGGCUUGCUUUCGAUACGGGCAGACUGGAGGUAUGCAGGGGAGAACGGAAUUCCUGGUGUAGCGGUGAAAUGCGCAGAUAUCAGGAGGAACACCGGUGGCGAAGGCGGUCUCUGGGCAUGUCCUGACGCUGAGGAGCGAAAGUGUGGGGAGGCGAACAGG
rnacentral:rRNA from 1 species